AACGUAGGAGACAAACGUUAUCCGGAGUUACUGGGCGUAAAGGGCGUGUAGGUGGUUUUGUAAGUCUGGCGUGAAAUUUUUCGGCUUAACCGGGAAAGGUCGUCGGAUACUGCAAGGCUAGAGGACGGUAGAGGCGUGUGGAAUUCCGGGUGUAGUGGUGAAAUGCGCAGAUAUCAGGAGGAACACCGGUGGCGAAGGCGGGUCUCUGGGCCGAUACUGACACUGAGGAGCGAAAGCGUGGGGAGCGAACAGG
rnacentral:rRNA from 1 species